rnacentral:rRNA from 1 species
GAUGAACGCUAGCUACAGGCUUAACACAUGCAAGUCGAGGGGAAACGAUAUUGGAAGCUUGCUUCUGAUAGGCGUCGACCGGCGCACGGGUGAGUAACGCGUAUCCAACCUGCCCAUCACUUGGGGAUAACCUUGUGAAAGUAAGACUAAUACCCAAUGACGUCUCUAGAAGACAUCUGAAGGAGAUUAAAGAUUUAUCGGUGAUGGAUGGGGAUGCGUCUGAUUAGCUUGUUGGCGGGGUAACGGCCCACCAAGGCGACGAUCAGUAGGGGUUCUGAGAGGAAGGUCCCCCACAUUGGAACUGAGACACGGUCCAAAACUCCUACGGGAGGCAGCAGUGAGGAAUAUUGGUCAAUGGGCGAGAGCCUGAACCAGCCAAGUAGCGUGCAGGAUGACGGCCCUAUGGGUUGUAAACUGCUUUUAUAAGGGAAUAAAGUGGGACGUGUGACUCUUUUUGCAUGUACCUUAUGAAUGAGGACCGGCUAAUUCCGUGCCAG